rnacentral:rRNA from 1 species
UACGGAGGGUGCGAGCGUUGUCCGGAAUCACUGGGCGUAAAGGCGCGUAGGCGGCCUGAUAAGUAGGGGGUGAAAUCCUGCGGCUUAACCGCAGGGCUGCCUUCUAAACUGUCAGGCUGGAGCACAGUAGAGGCAGGUGGAAUUCCCGGUGUAGCGGUGGAAUGCGUAGAGAUCGGGAAGAACAUCGGUGGCGAAGGCGGCCUGCUGGGCUCUUGCUG